GCCUCUAGCACACCCCUACUGGGGACCUAGCCCGAAACCCAGACAUGUGCCCUGACUGGGAAUCAAACUGGUGACCCUUUGGUUUGCAGGCCAGUGCUCAAUCCACUGGGCCACCCCAGCCAAGGCUGACACAGAUGAGUCUUACAAGCAUCAUAUUAAGUAAAAGAAUCUGGUCACAAAAGGCCUUAUAUUGUAGGUUCCAUUUACAUGAAACGUCCUCAACAGGUUUGACUGAUCUACAGGAAGUAGAUUAGUAGUUGCUAGGGAUGGGAAUUAGAAGAGUAGGAGCAAAAGGGUGCAGGGUGUCUUCUUGAGACGAUCAAAUGUUAAGUUAGAUUUUGGUAAUGACUGCAACUCUGUGAAUGUAUUAAAACUAUAGAAUUAUAAAAUUUAAGUGGGUGAACAGUGUGGUAUUUGAAUUAUAACUCAAUGAACCUGUUCUCUAUUUUUUAAAAGAAAGAAAUUAGGAGAGAAGAAAUGGCUAUGACAUUUUUUAAAAAUAGAAAGAAAACAAAACAAAACACCCUGCAGGCUACUGAGGUGGCAUGAGGAAAUGGAAAGAACACCUGACUGUGACUGAAGUAAGAGGGGUAGCAGUCUAGUUCUGCUCUACCUCUCUGUGCCAGACUGGCCCCAUGACCUUGGCAGAGCCACGUAUCUCUCCUCUCGGUCUCACUGUAAUGUGAAGGGUUAUGUUGUAGCUGUCUCCCAACUGUAAUAUUUCCCGAUUAUUAUAAAUAUAUUGCAGAUUAGCAAUCACAGUGUAACAUGAUGAAGAAGAGGAGAACAAUAAAAAAGAAAAAGAGUAACAGUAACUAAUACUGACUGAGCUCUACUUUAUGCUACCGGCUUACCUAUAUCAGCUCAUUCAGUUCUCACAAUAACUCCCUGAGACAGAGGACAUCCCCAUAGUGCAGAUGAGGAAUGAUGGCUGAGAGGGGUUGAGACCCUUUGCCUUUCAAGGAUAUUACCAGGGGAAGCUUCAGGGAAACAAGUGUGGAAUGGACACAGAAAAAACCCAGUGUGGAUCAGAACAAGAGCACAGAAAACAAUAGGAGAAAAGCCUCCAAACAUGCUUUGUUUUGUUUUGUAUUGUUUUUUAAAGGAACUGAGGGAUUCUUUUAUUAUUUUUGCUAUGUUGGAAGCAUUUUUCAGUUCUGCUGUAAAGCAUGGGGAAAAUUAGAGAUGAACACAAGAAAAACUAAGCAAAAAAGCAAAGAAACUAAGUGUCAUAAAAAGUCAUUAUACUAUACCAUAUGGCUGUGAAUGUUUACCCAAAAAUGCUGAUAUGCUGAUAAUGAUAUGUAGAUAUUAUUAGCAGGGUAGAGAAAGAAAGUGUGAGUUUUAGGUGGAGUAAGAAGAUGAAACCUCAACUUCUUACUAGGGACAAGAGUAGGUAAUACCUAAAUUUGAAACUGGUUUGUAAAUCUGGAGGGAAAUACCAGAAGCAGCAGCUUACAGAGUUAAAGAGGGCACUCUCUGAGGGGCCCUACUAAAGCAUGCAGAGGAGUGAUGUAGGAACUCCUUUUUUUGUUAUAAAUCUUAAAAAUACUUUUCACGCUUCUUAAAAUUAUCUACACGCAUUACUUAAAUAACAUUGAGUUAAAACAAAAUUAAAACCUUUGUCCAAGUUUGAGCUGGGAUUCAAACACAGGACUAAGCACACAAUCCACGCCAUGGGAUCAUUAUCCCUGAGAGAUAUAUGUAAAAUGCUCUCGGAGAUGACUUAGAAAAUAUCCUUCAACAAAGGAAGUCAUUUUUGACAUAAUCACCAACAUGAGUUACUUCACCCCACAUUAGAGAUGAAACCUACACAGCUCAACUCUCUCCACAACACUUAACCCUCACACAGUAAUGAAGGCAGAGCCAUAAACACUGGCAGCCUUCCUCCUAGUAUGAGCAGCUCUCAAAAUCCCACAGAUAUUUCAAUGUGCUUUUCUCCACUUCCAACCACGGGAGGGUUCCCAGAGAUGUCCUUAGGGUAUAUCCAGAUGCAGAGUGCAGGACUCAUCCCUGGAAAAAGUGCCCUAGCUCUUGGGCACAGAAUUAGUAAGGUUACAAAAAGAAGGAGAAAUGUUUUCCCACCAAAACAGCCACCUGGAUUUUCCAGUUAACUACAUUCAGAAGCUCCAGUCAUCAGAAAAGAGUCUGAUCUCCUGCAAGAACAGAAUCUCUGGUCACAGAACAGGACCACAACAUGCACAGAGCCACCUGACUGUAGAGGAAAUUCUCCACUAAUAGGGUGUUCAGGCUUCGAGGUGACAGAUGGGAUAUAAGACUGUAGGUCCAUUCUUUGGUUGCCCAAAUAAAGGUAAAAUAAAUUAUUAUUAUUCUCUCCAGUCCUCACAUAAGUGUUUAUUAUAUCUGCAAUUAGAAGAAAGGAAGAAAUAAAAGCAACGGACAAGCAACACCAGAGACAAAAGGGAGUUUUCCUGCUGUGGCGGCACAACACAUUUGUGACCACUUAAACAGUGUGCUCAGCUUCCCCACUGUCAGCCUGGUUACAAACAGCCCAGUGCCCUGCUCCUAAUCACAACCCAAAGGAACCUGCUGGAUUGAUUUAAUGACCAGCUCUGACCAGAAGCUGCCUUCAAUUUAUCUAUGGAAAAGGUGGAGCAGAUGGAGGAGCUGAAGGUGGGAACUGGUUUUUGCAUUUGGCAGUUUCUUCCUCCAACGCUUCACCAUUCAUCCUAUCUGAGCUGCAUUUGCCUGCUCCUGUAGCCAGAGCUCCACCAGCUGGGAGCUAGAUUGACCAAAGCCAACACAGACCUCACUCAGAAUGGAUUCACUGCCAUUAAUCCACCUUAAAAAGAAUAAAAGCUCCUCAGUAAACAAGAGUAUCCCCACCAGGCAGGCCCUCAGCCUAAUUGGAGGUGAGUCAGCUCACCAAUGCACCAGAGACUGGCUGAAACCUCCUUGAACAUUUCUCAACUUGUUGAUGCAAAGCCAGAAAAAUGAGGUGGAAGCACAGAAUGAAUAGAAGCAAUUUAAGUUCACUGGGAGUCCCAGGAUCAACAGUCAAACCCCUAAAAAGCAAUCACUCUACCUUUGCUUCAAGGACUGUAGAAGACCAGAUCCAUCUCCAGCUGCAGUAGACAGAAUGUCAAAAUGAGAAUAAAAGUGCUGUGCAGAGAGAAGUCAGGGUGACCUCCACGAAGGAAGAAGCAGGCUUCCUUGAUGAUUAAAGACUAGCUUGUGAUCACGUUAUUACACUUGGAAUAAGUGUUACAAUGUGCCAAAUGACAUCAUGCUCAAAGCAUCACAUGUUAUAACAACCUUGGGCAACCAGACCACCUGUGUCCCAGUCACAGCUCCCCUGCACACUGGCUGUCCUCAUGUGAAGUUCUUAUUCACUGAACUCAGAAUCAUCUGUAAAUUGGGAAUGAUGAUGAUUCCCACAGCCCAAGGAGAGUUAAAGGGUUUGAGGUGUACAGUCUGGGUAAAUGCCUAGUACAUUCUAAGAAGUGAACAUCAUUACUCCCAUCUCACAGAUAAGGAAAGCAGCCCAAGAAGGAAUCAUAAUUUUGUCUCAAGUUAUACAGAACUAAAGUGGCAGAAAGGAGUACCCAUAUAGUAGUAAUAGUAGUAGCAAGAGGGUUGUUGUCAUCACCAUGGUAGUACUCAAUAUAGAAGUGGCCCCUGGUUGCCACUAUGGGCUGCGGUGUGUACAUACACCAUCUCGUCUCCUCUGUUUGAGAGACUGUAAUUCAGCUAAAACAUCAGGUAUUUGGAAGUGGCAGCACAGAAGAAGACAGAUAUGUUGGCAGGACGAUUAUAAACAAGAACAAUUGCUGAACAAUCCCAAAACAAUCACCCUUCGGACAGAAGGGGGAAGAGGACCAGCAUAGCCAAUGCCCAUGUCAUAGAAGCAGGCAUUACAGACAUCACAUCUAAGGAACUGAUGGACAGCUGGCAACCACAGACCACUGGGAGAUGGUCCUGACUAAACCGCAGCCAGGGCAGGAAGAAAGGGCCUGAAUUUUUCUGCACCAGAAAAACUCACAGUGAAGUCAUGCUACUGAGAGGAAAAUUUAAAAAUAUAGUUGUAACCUCCUAAACUAAAAAUCAAAAUAGUACUCUUGGCCAGGGACACUUUUAACAAUGACGCAUUUUCAUCCUCUUUCACAUUUUCAUGGAAAAUGAAACAUCCCUGGGUCUAAUUUUAACUCCUCUUCUGUACCCUAAUCUCUACAAGGGCAGGUACUGGGUGCUGUUCACUGUUGUACACCCAAGUAUCCACAACAGUACAUGACACAAAGUAAGUAUAUAAUAAAUAUUUGCUAAAUGUGUAAGUGAUGUGUCUAAGGCUCUUAACAGGCAAACACUAAGAACUAACUAAAUAGGUGCUAAUUGAUUAGCAUUAUUUUCUAUUUUUCUCUACAGAAGGACCAGUUUACUCCUUUGAAUCCCCACAAUUCUCAAGCCUUAAAUGCAAAGUUCAUAUUCAACAAGCGCUUCAUGAGUACACAGAGAAAAAUAUGAACAUUUGCCACUAAGCAGAUCCCUGCCAUCAUAAAUGAGGACUUAAAUCAAACCAAAAUCAUACACACAGAGACACAUAAAUACACACAAAACCCCUGCAAUUUACUGUGUGUAUACUGAACACUUCCUUCCUAAGAAGAAAGGAGAAUCUACACAGCAGAAAAAGUAAUUAACCAAACAGCUGCUUUUUAUAACCUGGAAACUCAUCACUUUGAUCCCUUUCUUCCAACAGAAAGCAAAGUCCUUGAGGGCAAAAAGUGAAAAAGAGAAAAAUCCAAGAUUGCUACUUCAGUUGGCCAGAAAAAGAGACAAAUAGUAAAAUUAAAAAUUUCAGUUUAUUACAGACCUCUUUUGAAGGGGAAGACAAUAAUGUUUUAACAAAAAGGAAAUGCUUCCCCAUACCAAUGUUUCUGUUACUUAUUCACACCUACUCCUACUUUCACUAAAAAAAUCCAUAACAUUUGAUAACUAAAAGAAAAAAUCAAAGAUUAUCUAAUGACUAAGCUUCUCAUUUUCCCAACAGAGAAAGAAAAGAGAUGUGGCAAUUUCAUGAGGAAACUACACUAUACUCAGGACAUUUAAUGUUCUCAGAACAUACUAUAAUUAAAACAAACUAAUUUGAGAUCUGUAAAGGUCAUUGACACCACUGUAAAUAUAUACAUUUUUGUCUCCAUUUCUGCCUUGUUCCUUUCUUCAUUCCCCAGUUUCCACAUAUCUCAUAACUUGACAUCUCUCCUAAGAACUCGUUUAUACAAGAAGGUAUUGCAGCUGCAGGCCAACACGCAUUCCCAAAUCUACAUAUAGGAAGGGAAAACGAAAACCAAAGCCUCGAGGGCAGAUCAAUGGGUAAAAUGUAGUUAUUCACUAUGAGUACUCACACAAGUUAAGCAGGCCCAACCCACCCUGACGAAGCUUUGGCUUCAUGCCACAGGUGACACACCCAGAGCCCAAGAGGUUGUGGUUCCACUACACUCUCUGUGAUCUUAGCUCAUUCUUCAAGGUCAUGUGCAACACCUUCCUGUUACUCAUAAACUGAAGUCCAGAGCAGUGAGAUACGGAAAAGCAAACUCAGGUUUCCUGGUUCCCAACCCUGUGAUCUUUCUAUGGCCCUGACUGAACAGAGACCAUACGAGAGGGCCGGGGCUGCAAAAACACAAGUGUAAUUUGUCAUGUUUUGGUACCUUCCCCAGCUCCCACAAACUAAAUCAGUUUGUCUUUCUAGGCCAAGCUAAAUGUCAUCUCCUCUGUGAGGUCCAUUUCAUCUUCCCCUAGCCCAGUGGAGAUCAAUCACUCCUUAGUCUAUGUCAUCAACUCAGCCCUUUCCUUGAUCUGUCAAUUAACCUUCAAUUCAGUCAAUCCUGUAAUGAACUUUAUCAUUUACCACUUGUCUUGUCCUCUAGACUGGAAGAUCCUCAUUGGCUGGAUUCACCUUUCUACUCUCCUGUUCACCCGCAGUCUUCCCUGCCCUGCACAUUUCCAUGUACUCAUCAAAAUGUUAACUUAUCUGACACAUAGUUACUAAGAUCCUACUUCAUUCCACACAUUACACUAGAGAUAUAACAAUGACCAAGACAGAAACUGAAACUGCCCUCAUUCACUCUUCACUUGUAAAAGGAAAGAGUCACAUUAAAGAAUCAUUCAAAUAAUACUGAGGGGUAGUACUGACUGAUCAGGAAAAAAUGCACUGUAUUUAAGUGGGAAGGAAUGGUGGGGGUAAGUAACAAGCAAGUGAAAUGCUACUUGAGAGAGGGUCUGUAUGUGGACAUGCAUAUUUGGGGACGGACAUUCUGCAUAUUCUGUACCAGUAGUAGAAUGUAUUCAAUCUGAAAUUUUUGGUGAUCAUAAUUGCACCAAU